rnacentral:rRNA from 1 species
UAACGCGUGAGGAACCUGCCCUUCAGAGGGGGACAACAGUUGGAAACGACUGCUAAUACCGCAUGAUACAUUUGAAUCGCAUGGUUUGAAUGUCAAAGAUUUAUCGCUGAAGGAUGGCCUCGCGUCUGAUUAGCUAGUUGGUGGGGUAACGGCCCACCAAGGCGACGAUCAGUAGCCGGACUGAGAGGUUGGCCGGCCACAUUGGGACUGAGAUACGGCCCAGACUCCUACGGAAGGCAGCAG